GCCCAGGUAGCUCAGUCGGUAGAGCAGAGGACUGAAAAUCCUCGUGUCGGUGGUUCAAUUCCGCCCCUGGGCACCA
rnacentral:tRNA from 5 species